rnacentral:rRNA from 1 species
GAUGAACGCUGGCGGCGUGCCUAAUACAUGCAAGUCGAGCGAACAGACGAGGAGCUUGCUCCUCUGACGUUAGCGGCGGACGGGUGAGUAACACGUGGAUAACCUACCUAUAAGACUGGGAUAACUUCGGGAAACCGGAGCUAAUACCGGAUAAUAUAUUGAACCGCAUGGUUCAAUAGUGAAAGACGGUUUUGCUGUCACUUAUAGAUGGAUCCGCGCCGCAUUAGCGAGUUGGUAAGGUAACGGCCUACCAAGGCGACGAUGCGUAGCCGACCUGAGAGGGUGAUCCGCCACACUGGAACUGAGACACGGUCCAGACUCCUACGGGAGGCAGCAGUAGGGAAUCUUCCGCAAUGGGCGAAAGCCUGACGGAGCCACGCCGCGUGAGUGAUGAAGGUCUUCGGGUCGUAAAACUCUGUUAUUAGGGAAGAACAAAUGUGUAAGUAACUAUGCACGUCUUGACGGUACCUAAUCAGAAAGCCACGGCUAACUACGUG